GUGCUCGCUUAGGCAGCACAUAUACUAAAAUUGGAGCGAUACAGAGAAGAUUAGCAUGACCCCUAUGCAAAGAUGAUACCCAAAUUCGCGUGAAGCGUUCAUUCCAUAUUUUU
rnacentral:snRNA from 1 species